UACGUAGGGUGCAAGCGUUAAUCGGAAUUACUGGGCGUAAAGCGUGCGCAGGCGGCUUUGCAAGACAGAUGUGAAAUCCCCGGGCUCAACCUGGGAACUGCAUUUGUGACUGCAAGGCUGGAGUACGGCAGAGGGGGAUGGAAUUCCGCGUGUAGCAGUGAAAUGCGUGGAUAUCGAGAAGAACACUAAGGGCGUAGGCAAGACUCUAGACAAGUGUUGACGCUCAUGCACGAAGGCUAGGGUAGCGAACGGG
rnacentral:rRNA from 1 species